GAUGAAGAACGUAGCGAAAUGCGAUAAGUAAUGUGAAUUGCAGAAUUCAGUGAAUCAUCGAAUCUUUGAACGCACAUUGCGCCCGCCAGUAUUCUGGCGGGCAUGCCUGUCCGAGCGUCAUUUCAACCCUCGAACCACUCCGGGGGGUCGGCGUUGGGGAUCGGCCCUUUACGGGGCCGGCCCCGAAAUACAGUGGCGGUCUCGCCGCAGCCUCUCCUGCGCAGUAGUUUGCACACUCGCAUCGGGAGCGCGGCGCGUCCACAGCCGUUAAACACCCCAAACUUCUGAAAUGUUGACCUCGGAUCAGGUAGGAAUACCCGCUGAACUUAAGCAUAUCUAAGCGGAGGA
rnacentral:misc_RNA from 1 species